rfam:Loxodonta africana unplaced genomic scaffold scaffold_108, whole genome shotgun sequence.
CGAAAGGCUCUUUUCAGGGCCACCCACAUUAUCUUAAAAGAGCUGG